rnacentral:rRNA from 1 species
AUAAUACUCCAUAGUUCAUGGAAUCUGGAGUGAUCCAUGGAUGAAAGUUCCGGCGCUUAAGGAUCGGUCUGCGGCCUAUCAGGUCGUAGUGGGUGUAACGUACCUACUAGCCUAUGACGGGUAUGGGCCUUGAGAGAGGGAGCCCAGAGUUGGAUUCUGAGACACGAAUCCAGGCCCUACGGGGCGCAGCAGUCGCGAAAACUUCACAAUGGGGGCAACCCCGAUGAGGGAAUUCCUAAUGCUAGCACAUUUGUGUUAGCUUUUCUUUAGCGUAGAUAACUAGAGGAAUAAGGGCUGGGAAAGACGGGUGCCAGCCGCCGCGGUAAUACCUGCAGCCCAAGUGGUGGUCGAGUUUAUUGAGUCUAAAACGUUCGUAGCCGGUUCGGUAAAUCUUUGGGUAAAUCGGGGGGCUUAACCUUCCGACUUCCGAGGAGACUGCCGAACUUGGGACCGGGAGAGGCUAGAGGUACUUCUGGGGUAGGGGUAAAAUCCUGUAAUCCUAGAAGGACCACCGGUGGCGAAGGCGUCUAGCUAGAACGGAUCCGACGGUGAGGGACGAAGCCCUGGGUCGCAAACGGGAUUAGAUACCCCGGUAGUCCAGGGUGUAACGCUGCAGACUUGGUGU